rnacentral:rRNA from 1 species
UACAGAGGUCCCAAGCGUUGUUCGGAUUCAUUGGGCGUAAAGGGUGCGUAGGUGGCGCCGUAAGUGGGGUGUGAAAUCUCGGGGCUUAACUCCGAAACUGCAUUCCAUACUGCGGUGCUUGAGGACUGGAGAGGAGACUGGAAUCCAUGGUGUAGCAGUGAAAUGCGUAGAGAUCAUGAGGAAGACCAGUGGCGAAGGCGGGUCUCUGGACAGUUCCUGACACUGAGGCACGAAGGCCAGGGGAGCAAACGGG